rnacentral:lncRNA from 1 species
AUUGAGUCAUGGUGAAAACAGGGAAGUAGAUGCCCAGAGAGAGAAUGGAGAACAAACAGAGAAGGAAGCCAAGAACAACCUCCAAGGAAAACACAACAUUCAAGGUACACGUAAAAGAAUAGAAGCCAGUAAAGUAGAGAAAGAAGGACAAAUCAGAGAGGAGAAGAGCCAUGAGAUACCUCUCAGAAGCCAUGGUAUUAAACAUCUCCAGUGCCCCAGUUAAGUCAAAUAAGGUGGGAAGUGGAAACUGACGAAGUUUAUUGGACUUGGCGCUUUCGAAGUCACUGGAAAUUACCACCACAGCAAUUUCAGUAGAUUAGCAAGGUGUUGACUAGAGUACCAUUAAGAGUGAUUGAAAGGUAAAGAGAUGAAGACAACAAACAAAGGCUAUUCUUCUAAGAAAUUUAUCAUGAAGAUAAGAAGAAAAGGUGGAAAGCUAGUGAGAAUGCUUUCUCUGAAUCAAAGCCAAGUUCUCCAAACAGAAAUCAAGGCAAAAGAAAAACUUUAUCCAGUUUUAUUGGAGACUCAUAGCAUAGUGUGUCCAAACAGGUGCCAGUCCAAUGAAAAUUUCAAGCUCACCAAUCUGUGAGGCCACCUGGAACAAUAGGCCUGGAGCUCCUAUGCCUGUAUUCUACUGUUUGAUUCUCCUUAUGACAGACAACACUAUUAGAUCGCACAAUACAAACAGGAAGCACAAAAAGAGCAAAAAGAGAUGAAAAGAAAUGACUUGAUUCUACCAAAGAUGUCAAACAGAAAACAAUAAGACAACUUGGCAUCAAACUGUGAAUAAAUAUGCAAGGAACACAACGCACAGGAAACAGAGUUCAGGUCUGUGCAGACUUACAGUGUCAGAAUGGAUUUGACAAGCCAUGAGUAGCAAAGCACAGAGGCCUCUGUGGGCACUGUACGUGGUCAGAGCCUUGGGGCCACAGCAUUAAGCAGUGUAUACUGAAUCUUAGUGGGAUUUCAAAGAAACACAAAUAAACAGAGACUGCCCAGAUGUGAACAAGCAGAGAGUAUAUAUUCAAAGCUUGCUAUGGCAAAGGACUCAGCAUCAUCAUGUGUUUGGGACACACUCAAAGACAGAGGGGGGAAUAAGGAAGUUUUGUAGCAAAAAAAAUAAAGAGAUGGCUUCAGGUA